rnacentral:rRNA from 1 species
ACACACCGCCCGUCGCUACUACCGAUUGAAUGGUUCAGUGAGGCUUUCGGACUGGCCCAGGGAGGUCGGCAACGACCACCCAGGGCCGGAAAGUUAUCCAAACUCGAUCAUUUAGAGGAAGUAAAAGUCGUAACAAGGUCUCCGUUGGUGAACCAGCGGAGGGAUCAUUGCUGGAACGCGCCCCUGGCGCACCCAGAAACCCUUUGUGAACUUAUACCUUACUGUUGCCUCGGCGCAGGCCGUCCCCUAUGGGGUCCCUUUGGAGACAAAGGAGCAGCCGGCCGGUGGCCAAGUUAACUCUGUUUUUAAACUGAAACUCUGAGUACAAACAUAAAUGAAUCAAAACUUUCAACAACGGAUCUCUUGGUUCUGGCAUCGAUGAAGAACGCAGCGAAAUGCGAUAAGUAAUGUGAAUUGCAGAAUUCAGUGAAUCAUCGAAUCUUUGAACGCACAUUGCGCCCUCUGGUAUUCCGGAGGGCAUGCCUGUUCGAGCGUCAUUUCAACCCUCAAGCCUGGCUUGGUGAUGGGGCACUGCCUGUAAAAGGGCAGGCCCUGAAAUAUAGUGGCGAGCUCGCCAGGACUCCGAGCGCAGUAGUUAAACCCUCGCUUUGGAAGGCCUGGCGGUGCCCUGCCGUUAAACCCCAACUUCUGAAAAUUUGACCUCGGAUCAGGUAGGAAUACCCGCUGAACUUAAGCAUAUCAUA